rnacentral:rRNA from 1 species
CGGUGCCAGCAGCCGCGGUAAUACAGAGAGUGCAAGCGUUAAUCGGAAUCACUGGGCGUAAAGCGCACGUAGGUGGAUAUUUAAGUCGAAUGUGAAAGCCCCAGGCUUAACCUGGGAAUUGCACCCGAUACUGGGUAUCUCGAGUAUGGUAGAGGGAAGUGGAAUUUCCGGUGUAGCGGUGAAAUGCGUAGAUAUCGGAAAGAACACCAGUGGCGAAGGCGGCUUCCUGGACCAAUACUGACACUGAGGUGCGAAAGCGUGGGGAGCAAACAGGAUUAGAAACCCCGGUAGUCCUA